AUUCUGGAUGAGAGAUAUAUAGCUGAUUAAUUACAGUUAGUAUUUGAGGUUCAACUCUUCGAUAAAAUGUUCCAAAGAAGUGCAUUACACAUUCAUAGGUAUUGUGAUACAUGUGACAUGAUAUAUGGGUCCCUUAGAUCCACAACACCAAGGGUGGACUCUAUGUAUUAGGUGAGAUGUUGGAAGUGAAGGGGCUUGAACACAGUGGUAUUUCGGUCAUUUUGUAUUUUGGCAGGGAUAUUGAGGUAUCCAAACCUAUGUGACACCUUAAGACAUCUCUUAUGAUGUUAAUAUGAUGUCUUAGUAAUGGUGCAAGCAGUGGGUGAAGGCUCUGUAUGGUUAAAAUGAAGAUUUCAUAGGUUCAUGCAUUGACAUCAUGUUCGGGGGUAUUAUUGUAAAUUCAAUUGGCAUAUUUAGAAGGAGACAUGCACAUGAAAGUUGUAGAUCUUUGAGUCAUGCGUCUAAUGCAAUUGGAAUCAUAUCGAUCCGAUAUCGUAGUAAAAAUUUAUGACAAUUUUCAGUCAGUGCAUAAGUUGAAAAGACAGUGACCUACACAUCAUUCGGGUUCAAGCCCGUUUUUGGGAUCUGCGCACUGCACCUGGGUUGAUGGUGUCUUCGUAAAAACUUAGCCUUUCGAGUCUUUUGUACGUAGGAAAAAUGAUGUGGAUCCGGGUUCUAAAAGACUGAAAUCGGAUCACUUAUGGGCCCACGAAAAACAAAUAUUUCAAUCUAGGCAAACCAGGGGCCAUAUUGUAAAUUCUGGUACAAUUUAAGAGCUUUUUAGAUUGAAAUAACUAAGGACUUAAUAGGAAUUAAACCCAAAGAAAAGAGCAGUUCUGAAAAUAAAAAAAUAGUAGUGGGGUUAAAUUGAAAUAAAAUCCAAAAUGAAGGUUAUUUAUGAGAACAUCAGAGAAUAGGAUCUAAUUGUAAAUAAGGAGAAAUACCAUCAGCGACCUUAUGUAACCUUAAGGACACAGACACGAUAGAACCAGCAGAAGCGGUGUUGGUUUCGAACAGCAAAACUCACUCAGUUGGAAUCCAUGCGAAGCGAAACUUUGGAAGAGAGAUUGGAAGUCAGUUGGCUAUUGAUUCCAACCAAUAUCAGAUCGGAAGAAGCUGUGACAACCUCGGGAAGAAAUUCGCAACCUGAAUCAGGCGGAGAACCAGAUCUGAUUUCUGGUUUUCAGAUUUGUCUUCUACUAACUUGCAGGAGCUUGGGAUAAACUGCAGGGACUUGUUUGUCUCUGAGAACCCUACCCUCGACCCAAAACCUCAGGGCCACUCGAUGGGAGACCAGUUUUCAGAGACAAGUCUUCGGUUCUGGUAGGUAUUGCCUAGAACAGGGGAAAAAAGAAAAAAAACAGAAAAACAAUGAAGAUAUGAAGAAGAAGAUGAAGAAGUAAUAAUAGAAAGGAAGGUUAAAGAAGAAAAGAGACUAUUAGAAAGGUUAAAACAAAGCACCCACGGCAGCCAUUGUUCAUGGUUCUCACCCAAAAA